rnacentral:rRNA from 1 species
GACGUAGGAGGCGAGCGUUGUCCGGAUUCAUUGGGCGUAAAGGGCGCGUAGGCGGCGGCUUGAGUCCCUGCGUGAAAUCUCCCGGCUCAACCGGGAGGGUGCGCGGGAUACUGGGCGGCUUGAGGACAUCAGAGGAGAGCGGAAUCCCCGGUGUAGUGGUGAAAUGCGUAGAUAUCGGGGGGAACACCAGUGGCGAAGGCGGCUCUCUGGGGUGCACCUGACGCUGAUGCGCGAAAGCUAGGGGAGCAAACGGG